rnacentral:rRNA from 1 species
CCUACGGGCGGCAGCAGUGAGGAAUAUUGGACAAUGGUCGGAAGACUGAUCCAGCCAUGCCGCGUGCAGGAUGAAGGUCUUAUGGAUUGUAAACUGCUUUUGUAAGGGAAGAAUAAGGACUACGUGUAGUUUGAUGACGGUACCUUACGAAUAAGCAUCGGCUAACUCCGUGCCAGCAGCCGCGGUAAUACGGAGGAUGCGAGCGUUAUCCGGAAUCAUUGGGUUUAAAGGGUCUGUAGGCGGGCUUGUAAGUCAGAGGUGAAAGCGCUUAGCUCAACUAAGCAACUGCCUUUGAAACUGUUGGUCUUGAAUGGUUGUGAAGUAGUUGGAAUGUGUAGUGUAGCGGUGAAAUGCUUAGAUAUUACACAGAACACCGAUAGCGAAGGCAGAUUACUAACAAUUAAUUGACGCUGAUGGACGAAAGCGUGGGGAGCGAACAGGAUUAGAUACCCGUGUAGUC